rnacentral:rRNA from 1 species
AUUGAACGCUGGCGGCAGGCCUAACACAUGCAAGUCGAACGAGUGGCGGACUGGUGAUUAAUGUCUUGUCAACUGCCUGCUGGAGGGGGAUAACUACUGGAACCGGUAGCUAAUACCGCAUACCAUCGGAUGUUCCCAGAUGGGAUUAGCUAGUAGGUGGGGUAAAGGCUCACCUAGGCGACGAUCCCUAUCUGGUCUGAGAGGAUGACCAGCCACACUGGAACUGAGACACGGUCCAGACUCCUACGGGAGGCAGCAGUGGGGAAGAUUGCACAAUGGGCGAAAGCCUGAUGCAGCAAUGCCGCGUGUAUGAAGAAGGCCUUCGGGUUGUAAAGUACUUUCAGCGGGGAGGCGUUACCCGCAGAAGAAGCACCGGCUAACUCCGUGCCAGCAGCCGCGGUAAUUC